AGGAUGAACGCUGGCGGUCUGCUUAACACAUGCAAGUCGAACGGAGUAGCAAUACUUAGUGGCGGACGGGUGAGUAACGCGUGAGAAUCUACCUUCAGGACGGAGACAACAGUUGGAAACGACUGCUAACCCCCGAUGUACCGCAAGGGCAAAUAUUUAUAGCCUGAAGAAGAGCUCGCGUCCGAUUAGCUAGUUGGAGAGGUAAAAGCUCACCAAGGCGACGAUCGGUAGCUGGUCUGAGAGGACGAUCAGCCACACUGGGACUGAGACACGGCCCAGACUCCUACGGGAGGCAGCAGUGGGGAAUUUUCCGCAAUGGGCGAAAGCCUGACGGAGCAAGACCGCGUGGGGGAAGAAGGCUCUUGGGUUGUAAACCCCUUUUCUCUGGGAAGAACACAAUGACGGUACCAGAGGAAUCAGCAUCGGCUAACUCCGCGCCAGCGCGC
rnacentral:rRNA from 1 species